CUAACAUUCAGUGAUCAUGUGUUCAGACUCAUAAUGAUUACUCUCAUAAAUCCUGAUCUUUGUAUUUACUGUGUGUUGGAUCAAUAACUGAGAUUCAUCGUAUCACACAGCUGUGCUGCUGCUGCUGCUGCUGGUGAUGUCAGCACAUCUGGAACAAUACGAGGUAUCUGCUACCAGACUGAGCAGGACGUGAGACCUGUGGACUGUUUAAAGCUGUCCCUCCACAGCUCACUCAGACCUGAUCCACACCUCAGUGAGAUUCUCUGACUUCCUCAGUAGAGACAGAAACCAUUCAGAUCUGGGACGAUCAGCUGACUGAUGAUGUCACACAGACUGUGUUUUUCAGGAACAGUGAUUCUGAUGUGAGCCUGCUAGCUGACAGCAGACCUGAUGAAACCACAUGUUGACAUCUGUGAGGACAGACUGGACUCUUUGACUGCACCUUGGUUCUCCUCAGAGGUCUGUACAGGAGCAUGUCCACCCCACUGAAGAUCUCAGUCACUGUGAAACAUAGAAAGCUGCUUGUGUGGCCUCUGCCUCACAUGUAGAUGCAGCUACAGGUUUCUGAACUGAGCUCACAGUGUUCAUUCAGUGAACUACUCAGUUUAUUUUGGGCCUCAGAAAUGCUCACUCUGUUUGUACAUCACUGUCAGCAAUAGACUCAUUCUGCUGUGUGGACAGGAACACAUGUGACAUCACUUCCUGUUUGUUUGUGACUGAAGAGGAAGAAGUUUACAAGGAAUCAUUUAAAAGAGUUUCAAACAUCAACUGAUUGAAUCCAUGAAUCUGAAAACGUGUUUGUGAGUGAAAGAGACAGACAUGUACAGACUGAACUAUCUGUUCAACAGUCAGAGUGUUUCUCUAACAGGAGACACUCUUUACACUCAGCACAGGGACACUGAGGAACCAGGAGACAAGAACCUAAACCCAGGAUAAAGAGUUUGAGUGAAUGUGGUGUUGAAGGUGUGGAGGUGGAUCAGAGUGUCAGAGGAGACUCUGUAGAAGGACAGAGUGCCAGCAGGACAGUCUACAUACACUGCUACUCUGUUAGAGACAG
ensembl:lncRNA